GCUGGCAACCGGCGCACGGGUGAGUAACACGUAUCCAACCUGCCCUUUACUCGGGGAUAGCCUUUCGAAAGAAAGAUUAAUACCCGAUAGCAUAAUGAUUCCGCAUGGUUUCAUUAUUAAAGGAUUCCGGUAAAGGAUGGGGAUGCGUUCCAUUAGGUUGUUGGUGAGGUAACGGCUCACCAAGCCUUCGAUGGAUAGGGGUUCUGAGAGGAAGGUCCCCCACAUUGGAACUGAGACACGGUCCAA
rnacentral:rRNA from 1 species